AUUUCUUAGAAUCGCGUUUCUCUUCCGUUGAAUUACGGAACAUACCAUAUUUAUUACAAAUUGAUAAUUACUACUACCGCGCACCUGCAAACCGUGCUUAACGUAAACUUCUUAUAAAUCCUACACUUCAAACCCAUGUGAUAGAGCGGUUUACACAAUUCUACUCACAAAAUUCCGGGCUCCGGUCACGAUAUUCGCCGAUUUCUGGGUCACAAACGCAUUAAAAGUAAUCCACUGCACUGAAUACGGUAAAAACGCAAGUUUAUUCGCGAGAAAAUCUUUAAAAA